rnacentral:rRNA from 1 species
GACGAACGCUGGCGGCGUGCUUAACACAUGCAAGUCGAACGGAAAGGCCCCUUUGGGGGUACUCGAGUGGCGAACGGGUGCGUAACACGUGAGUAACCUGCCCUUGACUUCGGGAUAACUUCAGGAAACUGGGGCUAAUACCGGAUAGGAAUCCUUGCUGCAUGGUGGGGGUUGGAAAGCUUCGGCGGUUUUGGAUGGACUCGCGGCGUAUCAGCUUGUUGGUGGGGUAGUGGCUUACCAAGGCUUUGACGGGUAGCCGGCCUGAGAGGGCGACCGGCCACAUUGGGACUGACGUACGGCCCAGACUCCUACGGGUGGCAGCAGUGGGGAAUAUUGCACAAUGGGCGGAAGCCUGAUGCAGCAACGCCGCGGGCGGGAUGACGGCCUUCGGGUUGUAAACCGCUUUCAGCAGGGGCGAAGCUUGUGGUGACGGUACCUGCAGAAGAAGCACCGGCUAACUACGUG